AAGAAAGGAGAACGGUGAAGGAAAAAAACAUCAAGGUCUCGAUAAAGAAUCUAGUACUUCUUUCGACGUCUUAAGGAGUAUUUUUAGAUAAAAUAAAUUAAUAUGAUUGUUAUUUUUCCUGUUUUGCAUGCCUUUGUGUUUAGAUAAGUGGAAUUAUUUUUGUUUUCAAGCAUGCUAUGUGAAUUACAGACAGUUGAUGAAUUUGCAUGUAAUAUAUAUAAUAUGUAUUCUGUAACAGUAAAAAGUAUAAAAUAAAAGAAAAAGAGAAAAGUGGAAUGAAGCCUGUAUAGUCUGAAGUGUAUUUGUAUUGACAUGCAUAUUGUAUCAAGUGUCUCACUAGAUUUUUUAUCUCUGAAGGGUAUCUGUUCCUCUUGCCAUUCGGGGUAUCUGUUUUUCCCUUCCCUAUCUGGUCUAGAAAGACAUAAGAGGACCGCUCCCAAUGGAUGGUGGCGUACACUCUAACGAGAGUGGUAUCACACUCUCUGUAGGGGUCACCCGUGAUCAGUAAUGUCGUGAUUGUGAAUAUUUGUUAAGGCCACUACGGCUGGUACGACCGUGGUCAUAGAUCGUACCAUGGUUUGGCCAGUUAGAAAUGGGCUUGAGCAAAUUGUCAUAUCUGUAUCUGAUCUUGUCAUUCUACUUGGGUAGUUGAAAAUCUGUAUCUGCCCUGAAAGAUAGAAGUUAUGACGACUUCGUGAAGCAUGACACUAAAAUUUGAGCAUUUCAUGAUUUAUUUGAUUUUGUCUAUUAUCUGCCAUGACGUAUGUUUUGUUAUCUGUAUUAACGUAUCGUUUUCUUAACAAAUAAAUGAUUUUUCAUAAUGUGAGAUAGGUAAACGAGGAGGUUAAAUGGUAAGUUAAAAUAACUAACUUUUGAAAUCUUAUGAUGUUAAUUUAAUAUUAUUUUUCUUACUGAGCAUAUAAAACUCACUAUUUCCAUGCCCCCCAGAUGAAGAAAAAAGUGAAAAAUCGCAGGUUGACCUACCCUUAGAAGUCUAUGAGGAUCCCGUAGAUUCAUAAAUCUGAGUGCAUGACUAUUCCCGCACUCUGAUGAGUCCAAUAGCAUAAUGAAAGAAGUGGCCCUUAUGUUUUGUUUUCUAUUUUGCAGCCACUUAUGGCCUCAUUAUAUGUAUGUAUAGAUCUCAUAUGUAUUUAUAAGGGAUUUGUAAUAAUUUCAUUCCGCUACAUAAAUUUUAUCAUACACUCGUUAUUCUGAAUAUGUAUCUAACACCCAUUUGCUUUAAUUAGCAAAUGGGAUGUCACAUGAUUGGCAGGUCCCCAUUUUGUUCACGGAGAAGGGCUAUUUGAUCACACCAUACUGAGGCAUAGCCUGUAAAUUCAAAGGUGACCAACUUAAGCUUUUUUUCUUCACUAUAGUGGCGGUAGCUGAAGAUGCAGUCAGUCAUCCACUCCCACUCAAGAUAGGCUUCAGGAUCAUUUUUUCCCUUAAAAGUUGAUAUAUGGAACUUAAAGUCAUGGAGGUCUCCAUCUGCCUCUUCGCGACGGCCUCCCUGUCUGUCGCCAACUUCAUCACCAUAAGAUCUUGUUUUUUCCCGUGUUAUUUGGCAUCAGGCACGAUUGCGAUUGUCUCCCUGUUCCAGAUGAUCCAUGCGGGCAGCCAUGUUCCCCAUUUGGAAACUUAACUGAGUGAACAUGUCCAGAACCCUCUCUUUUAUGGUUACUUGUAACACCCCACUCAUCGUGUGCUUAAUUAAUUUGAAAAAUCAUAUCUGUUUGGGCCUUUAGGCUGCAUUGAACUCAUUUAAUUUGCU
rnacentral:lncRNA from 1 species